ensembl:lncRNA
GCUGGACUCAGCUGGACCUGUUUGCAGGCUCUGGGGCACGUCCGGGCAUGCUCAACUUGUCAAUCUCAUGGCAAAAGGCUCAAAAAUCCAACUGUGCCAGCAUAUUUAAGGCCUUCAUUCACAUCAUUUCUCCUAACUUCCCAUUGGCUAAAGCAAGUCACAUGGGUAAGCCAUGUGGGCAGAGAAGCCAAUGCUUCCUGUGGAGGAGGGUGGGGCAUUACUUUGAACUUCUACUUGUCUGCUGCCAAAGCUAGAGAAGCUUUCUUGCAGCCUUUGUUAACUGCUCCCUCCCAUGAAUUCCUAGGUUUGUUGUCUUUACCACUCAACAAAGCAAUUAAUUGCAUACUUUUGUCCUUUCGUUCGGGUCUUUGUUCUUUGACAUUUGCCUUUGUCUCCCCAGGGGGAUUGUUGAAGGGACCCAGGGACGCUUCUGGGUCGCCCCAGCCCUGCACAAUGCUGAUAUAUAGAAGGACCACGAUGACAAAAAAUAAACUAUGGACUCCACAACUGAAGACACUCACAGGUCUUGGUGCCCGGCCCAGCUUCUUUCAAAAUGCUGUUCAUGAAUUCGCUGCAAGCUCAGCUUUGACGGUGAUCAUUCCACGCUCCCAAGUGCAUACAAGUUGGUCAAAGUGAACACCAAUUUUGAUGCUGUGAUGCUCUGAACAUUGAAAUGGCCGUCAGGACCAAAGGUGUGGAUGAGAUCACCAUUGUCAACAUUUUGACCAGCUGCAGCAGUUAACAGAGAUAGGAUACUACCUUCACCUACCAGAGAAGGACCAAAAAGGAACUUGCAUUUGCACUGAAGUCAGCCUUGUCUGGCCACCUGGAGACAUGAUUUGGGGCCUAUUGAAAACACCUGCUCAGUAUGAUGCUUCUGACUUGAAAGCCUCCACGUAGGGGCUGGGGACUGAGGAGGCCUCCUUUAUUGAGAUCAUCUGCUCAAGGACCAACUGAGAGCUUCAAGAAAUUAGCAAAGUCUACAAGGAAACCUACAAGACUGAUCUGGAGAAGGACAUCAUUUCUGACACAUCUGGUGACUUCCGCAAGCUGAUGGUUGCCCUUGCAAAAGGAAGAAGAGCAGAGUAUGGCUCUGUCAUUGACCAUGAACUGAUUGACCAAGAUGCCCAGGAUCGCUAUGAUGCUGGAGUGAAGAGGAAAGGAACUGAUGUGCCCGAGUGGAUCAGUGUCAUGACGGAGCAGAGUGUGUCCUCUCCAGAAAGUAUUUGACAGGUACAGGAGCUACAGCCCUAUGACACAUUGGAGAGGCUCAAGAAGGAGGUCAAAGGAGAAACAUGGAAACUGCUUUUCUGAACCUGGUCCAGCGUAUUCAGAACAAGCCCCUCUAUUUUGCUGACCGACUGUACGACUCCAUGAAGGGCAAGGGAACUCGCGAGACAGUCCUGACUGGAAUCAUGGUCUCUCGAAGUGAAGUGGACGGUGUUGAAAACCAGGUCCUGUUUCAAGAAGUAUGGCAAGUCCCUGUACUACUGCAACCAGCAAGACACAAAGGGCAACUACCAGAAAGUGCUGCUGUCCCUGUGUGGUAGGGAUGACUGAGCCCCAGGAGGGGUGCGACUUUGUUUCCAGCUAACAGUUCUAGAAAAUAGCUUGUGACUAACAGUCCCCUUAUGCCCAUCCCUGAGAGGAUGACGUUAGCAUUGUCCCCUCCCAUCCUUAUUUCAGUUGCCAAACAUUGCCUGCCUCUCGUGUCUAGUCUCUCCUUUUAGCCAAAGAAAUGAACAUUCCAAGGAGUUGGAAGUGAAAUCUGUGAUGUGAAGCACUUUGCCUCUUAUUCAUACCCAGAUGAAUAAACUGAAUAUUUGCUUUAUAAACA